rnacentral:rRNA from 1 species
CCUUUUGAGUAUAAUUUAAGGUCGGGCCUGCCCAAUGAUUAAUUAAAUGGCCGCGGUAUAUUGACCGUGCAAAGGUAGCAUAAUCAUUAGUUUUUUAAUUGAAAGCUUGUAUGAAGGGUUUAAUGAAAAAAAUACUGUCUCUAUUUAAAUUUAUUAAAAUUUUAUAUUUAAGUUAAAAAGCUUAAAUUUAUAUUGAAGACGAGAAGACCCUAUAGAGUUUAAUAUUUUAUAUAAAAAUAAAGUAUUAAGGAUUUUAAAUAAUUUUUAUAUAAAAUAUUUAAUUGGGGUGAUUGAAAAAUUAGUUUAACUUUUUUUGUAUUUUUAUAUUGAUUAAUAAAUUUGAGAUCCUUUUUUAAGAUUAAAAGAUAAAAUUACCUUAGGGAUAACAGCGUAAUUUUUUUUAGAGUUCUUAUCGAAAAAAAAGAUUGCGACCUCGAUGUUGGAUUAAAAUUAAUCAUUGGUGUAGAAGCUAAUGAACUAGGUCUGUUCGACCUUUAAAUUUUUACAUGAUCUGAGUUUAAACCGGUGUAAG